CGGAAGAGGGAAGGGGAAAAAUAAAGGGAAACUCAUCAUCCUCAAUGCGAGUUCCACCGGAGGACAAGUUUCCACACAAGGUAACUAUGCAGCAGGGUUUAGAUACAUUUAGUAGUGGAAGAGGUUUUAUCUCUAUCAGAUGGUGACCAGCGGCAACUUGCCCUUCGGCUCAAAAUAACGGUUCAUGAAAAUGUAUGGACUUCAAUACCUGACUUUUUCAUUAAUGGAUAUUAUUUAUUACAUAUAUUAUAUAAACAGCUCGUUAUUAUUUUGUUAUUUAUGAUUAUUAAAUUAUUUUAUUUAGUGUAA